CAGCAGCCGCGGGAACACGAAGGGGGCUAGCGUUGUUCGGAUUUACUGGGCGUAAAGGGCGCGUAGGCGGACUGAUAAGUCAGGGGUGAAAUCCCAAGGCUCAACCUUGGAACUGCCUUUGAUACUGUUUGUCUUGAGUUCGAGAGAGGUAAGUGGAACUGCGAGUGUAGAGGUGAAAUUCGUAGAUAUUCGCAAGAACACCAGUGGCGAAGGCGGCUUACUGGCUCGAAACUGACGCUGAGGCGCGAAAGCGUGGGGAGCAAACAGGAUUAGAUACCCCCGUAGUCCCUGUCUCUUAUAC
rnacentral:rRNA from 1 species